AUGGCUUCCAAACGCCUGUGUGCAGUCAUCCUCGGGCCACCCGGCUCGGGCAAGGGCACUGUGUGCCAGAGGAUCGCCCAGAACUUUGGCCUCCAGCAUCUCUCCAGCGGCCACUUCUUGGGGGAGAACAUCAAGGCCAACACCGAAGUUGGUGAGAUGGCACAGCAGUAUAUAGAGAGAAGUCUUUUGGUUCCAGACCAUGUGAUCCCAUGCCUAAUGAUGUCAGAGUUGGAGAAUAGGCGUGGCCAGCACUGGCUCCUUGAUGGUUUUCCUAGGACAUUAGGACAAGCCGAAGCCCUGGACAAAAUCUGUGAAUCUAGUGAUCAGUUUGAACAUUCCAUUUGAAACACUUAAAGAUCGUCUCAGCCGCUGUUGAAUUCACCCUCCUAGUGGAAGGGUAUAUAACCUGGACUUCAAUCCACCUCAUGUGCAUGAUAUUGAUGAUGUCACUGGUGAGCCAUUAGUCCAGCAGGAGGAUGAUAAACCUGAAGCAGUUGCUGCCAGGCUAAGACAGUACAAAGACGUGGCGAAGCCAGUCAUUGACUUAUACAAGAGCCGAGGAGUGCUCCACCAAUUUUCCGGGACGGAGACGAACAAAAUCUGGCCCUACAUUUACACACUUUUCUCGAACAAGAUCACACCUAUUCAGUCCAAAAGAAGCAUAUUGACCCUGCCCAAUGGAAGAACCAGGAAGAUGUGGUCAUUCAUUCAAUUGUGUGUGUAGUAUUGGUGCUGUGUCCAAAUUAGAAGCUAGCUGAGGUAGCUUACAGCAUCUUUUCUAGUUGAAAUGGUGAACUGAUAGGAAAACAAAUGAGUAGAAAGAGUUCACAAGAGGCCUUCCUCUGCCUUUCAAAAGGAAAGUCACCUACACAUAUUUAAGGUGUCUCUGCACAUGUCUCAAGCCCUUCACAAGAAAGCAAGUACAGUGUGGAUUUCAAAUGGUAUGUAACCUCAGCUCCAGCUGGUUUUUGACAGCUGUUGCUGUGUUAUUCUAUUUUACACGUGAUUGUGAUAGUAUCUGGUUCUCUCCAUCCCCACAAAGGCUGUUGAACCACAGCACCAGGAAGCCUGAGAAUGAAUCCUAAGGGCUCUAGCCCAGGCUUUGUCCCAGGCUUUUUGGUGUGUGCCUCCCUGGCAACAGUGAAAUUGAAGCUACUUAC